rnacentral:lncRNA from 1 species
GCUCUCUCAAACAACAACUUCAGAAGCCGCAGCAACAGCCAUCGCUUCUACAAAAAACCCCUAAUCUCAUAAACCCUAAUUCUUCUAUAAAUUCGAACCACCGAUCCGCUCGCCGCCAUCCCAAUCUCAAGGGUGACUCCCCUGUUCCCGGCUGGAUUUCCGGAGGAAACGAAGAUGAUGACGAACGCCUAGAGAAGAAGCAUAAACCAUUGCUAGGCUUCAAUUCUUCUCGUAAUCAUCAGCAUUAUCCGCUUCCUUUGGCGCUCAAUUCGGCCUCCUAUGGGUCCGAUUCAAAUGCGGAUGGUGACGAUCCCGACGCGUCACUCAAGCGUCGCAAGUUUACCAACGCCAAUCCUGGAUCUUAUGAAAUGGUGAUUAAUCAUACAUUAAUAUAUAGGAUUCGCGGGUUUUCGAAACAGAAACAAAAGAUGAUUUUCCUACUUUAAUUGGAUAUUUUAUUUUAGUGUUCAUAUUUUUAGUUUCUCGUGCGCCGAAAUUUUAUGAUUGCAACGGAGAUGAAUGAACGAGUUUGACUAAGUCAUGUACCUUUUUUUAAUCGGUUAUUGUUUUAACUUUUUUGAAUUUUGGCAAUACUUCGAGUUGGAUUGAACACAGUUCGUCUUACUUUUCUUUCCUGAUUUACGAAUUUUCCAUUAUUAUUUUAUUAUUUAUUAUCUUGCAUUUAUUCCUUUAUUUUUGUGCAAAAUAAUAGAUGCACAGACCACCAUGUCUGUAAAGCUUCAGUUUUGUCUUUUCUUUAAUAAUUACUAAAAAGUUUUUUUUCGCUACUUCCUUUGCAUUGUUGUAGCUUUUUACUGUAACUUUUCCUCAGUGAUUCUUCAAAAAUAAACGCAAAUAUCUCUUUUAAUACUUUAUUUAUUUAUUUAUUUUGGGAGUUAGAUAAAUAUAUGUUUAUUAUUGAUACGAGAGUUUAUCUUAUUCACAGGGAGAAAAGUUACCGAAAGUGACGGACACUCUUCAUGGUAUAAUUCUAUCUCGAUUUUCUUGCAAAAAAGGCAUUUCUGGGAAUUCUUAAAAAAAAAAAAGUGUUGGGUUGUGGUAACUAUAUUAAUUUUGUUUCAUAUAUAUGUGUGGACAGGGUCACCGGUGGAGUCUGGCCCCACCCCACGACGCCUUUGCCAGACCAAAAGUUGUUGGUCUUCAUUCUUGACAGGCUCCAAAAGUAUUUGUUAUUUUUGGUUCAUUUGACUUUUUAUUCUUAUCCAGUCUUCCUUUUGAUGGGUUUUGAUCGUUUUUACUUAAUCUACUUCCAGGAAAGACAUUUAUGGGGUAUUCUCUGAACCAGUAGAUCCUGAAGAGGUGCAUUUUGUUUUUCAUUCUUGCAUAAAUCUAGCUUACUGAAAAGUGAAAUCAUGGUUCCUGAUAUAAUGUUGGAUUGUCUUGAUACAGCUUCCAGAUUACCAUGACAUUAUUGCACACCCAAUGGACUUUUUGACAGUCAGGAAAAAACUUGAUGAGGGAGCUUAUACUACCUUGGAACAAUUUGAGGUUUGUUUUGCAAGCAUUCUCUUUGCUAAUGUGGAUACAAUGCUCACCUAGCUGUCUUCCCUCUCACAUGGUGGAGACGGAAGGCCAAUUAAGUUGUUUGACUGCAUUACCGUCUAUGCUGAUCAAGUUUCUGAUGUUAUUUUCUCUGGUUGAUUUGUGUGUUUUUGUAGAAAAUGUAUAUGCCGAGUCAAGUUUGUGUUGUUUAACUGGAAUGAUACUUGAUGUUUAACUGAAAAUUUGUGAGUUUGAUUCAUGCAGAUUGAUGUUUUCCUAAUAUGCUCGAAUGCAAUGCAGUAUAAUGCACCAGAUACAAUUUACUUUCGACAGGUUUGUCUAGGUCUCAAUUGAAUUAAUUCCUUUGUCAUGAUACUGUUGUCUCUGUUAUUUUAAACGUUUGGAUUGGUUGGUUAGGCACGAUCAAUGCAAGAGCUGGCUAGAAAGGACUUUGAAAAUUUGAGGCAAGAUAGUGAUGAAGGUGAACCACAAGUGAAAGUUGUGAGGAGAGGAAGGCCACCUGGAAAGAGUCUCAAAAAGUCAUUGGUUUCAUCGUCAUCUAUUGACCAUGUUGGUUCCGAGUGCUCCUCAGGUGCAACUCUAGCUGCUGGACGAGAUGCUUCCAUUCUUUCAAACACUUACAAUUUGAGGAAAGGACCUAAUUCCCUCAAGCUACGGCCUGCUGAUGCAUUCAUCAGGCCCUCCUGGGGUUCUCCUAGCAAAGAAAAUCAUGCCAUUUGUUCAUCUGAAUGGGAGAAUGAAUUUCCAGGUUUGGUAUUUAUCUGACUUUAUAUACAUAUCCUCAAGUCUUUAGCUUUUUUUAUGUAAAAUGUUAUUUACUACAUAUUUUCAAUAUUUCAUAUUGAGCUAUUUUUCUCUCGUUUUGUAGCUUCUGUUGUGAGGGCUGUGAUGAAGUAUGGGAUGAAACAUUUUGCAGUAGAUGAGAACAGGCGUGACACCUACAACCACUCAUCGACUUCUGGACAUGAGCAACGUACCUUUUCCACCUUGGAUGGAGAAUUGAAGCAACUAAUUCCGGUGUGUUUUAUGUUUGUAUAAUGGCAAUAACAGUUAUUAAUGCAUUAGUUAGAAGAUUAUUGUAUGAGCUGUAUAGCUGGAAUGUGUGAUCGACCCUAUACUCAUUGAGUGCAGGUAAGGAAUCCUAAACUUUUUGUUUAUUAAUAAACUGCAUACAAAGUUGUGGUGCAGGUAGGCUUGCGCUGGUAAUUUGUUAUGUUUAUAUAUCUAGCCAAAAGGAUGUUCAAGUAUUCUGACAACUAGUGUUUAUGGGGGAACAAUAAAAAACUAUCCAGAUCAGCGGCAGAAUAGAAUGCUCAAUCCCUUAUAUUGACUAAUUCUUUUUAUCUCCCUCAAUUUUAUUUUGGUCAAUUGUAUUGUUUAUCAGGUUGGUUUGACUGCAGGAAAUGGUAAGCCUUUUUUUCCCCUUUCAUUGUCCAUCAGGUUGGUUUGAGUGCAGAAAAUGGUUAUGCUACAAGCUUGGCACGUUUUGCUGCAAAUCUUGGACCUGUUGUGUGGAAAAUUGCUUCAAGGAAAAUUGAAAGUGUUUUGCCUAGUGGACUCAAGUUUGGUCCUGGAUGGGUUGUAGAAAACAGGACAGUUGAGCAGCCACAAUGUUCCUUAUCUGAUAAGCAUAGAACUCCGAAUUCUCUAUCUGAUAACCCUCCUGGCAGAUUUUUAUCUACAGCCACUUCUGGUUCAAACUCCAUUGCUGCAAGUAGAUUUCCUUUGCAAGGUAGAGAAGACAUGGAAACUGUCGUAGGCCUAACUUCUCAAAAUGACUCGACUUCUGCACCUUCUCAUCAGCUUCAGCAAAGUCUUGUCCCACACACGGGUAUCAAUGGUUCUAUUGGUGGGUUUGGGUUUGGUUAUUACUCUCAAAUGGGGUUGGUAACACAGUGUGUAAAUUCCUUGUCUGAAAAGACUUCAGUGCCGGCUCAAACACAUGUCAUGGUUUCGGGUGCUAGUAAUUCUCUUCCAAAAGAGGCCAAGCUGGCAGAUAGUUCAAUCACUUUACAUUCUGGAAAUGCAAUGGCUGUGGAGCCUGAAAUGGUGUCACAUGCGGCAGCAACUAAUGUCGGGCUUCAGCGGAGUUCCUAUAAUGAACCGAAUUUCCUUCCAUUUGCUCCUGAUCUUAAUGUGAGAUUUCUGGCACUGGGUUCACCUAGUUCUAGUGUGCCAAUUGGUUCAUCCCAGCGCCCUGAUUUAGCAUUGCAGCUCUAAUAAUCAGCCAACACGAUUUCCGUAUGAUGUGGCUUGUAUGUGCUAAUUGUAGUAUUAGGUCAAGUACGCCUGUAUAUGAUGAUAAGAUUUGGUCGAAUUUACUGACUACAUUCUUCAUUGGAAGGUCCGUUGAGUAGUGGUUCCUCAAGAAGUCAUAGGAUCAGAUUGUAGGUGAGAUUUUGUACAGAUUGGUAUGUCAAAUUCUUUCACAGGGUUAAAAAAUUACAGAUUUGUAUGCAACAUACGGUAUCUAACAUUGUAUAUUUUGAGUUGUUAAUGAAUAUUGUUACCAAUACUACUACUGGUAUUACGUACGAGAUAUCAUUCAUGUCAUGAAUUAUGAAAUGUUCAUGUUUGGAGCAAUGAAGUAAUGCUUAAACUAAUUGAUGCAAAAUAGAGAGCAACUGAUUGCUAAGGGGGGUUGAGUGAUGUUAUAUAAAUGGCAAUUAUAUAUACAUGCGCAUAUAUAAUUAUCUUUAUGUGCAUAUAAAAUUGUCUUUAAAAUUGUGUCCCAUUAUCUAUUAUUAACCAUUGGGAAAACUAUAUCAACAAAUGAUGGUUUUCCAUACAAAUAUCUCCAUGUGUCUUUGAUGCCUUUGGAAAUUAGAUCCGUAUAGGAUUACCUGUGUUGGUUUGUGAUAGGACAUGAUAGAGUCCAUGUGUCGCAUGAUUAGCGAAGUAUUCUAGCAAAUUAUAGUCCUUUGACGAGAUACAGAAAGUAUGACUUGGUAUCUUGAUGGACAAGAUGUGAGCCAUGCGAGGUACACUUAUGUCUGAGGUCUAACCAACUCCAACAUUACAUUUAACAUAUAAUUUAUUUAUGUAAUUCGUAUAACACAAAAUAUUAAAUAUUUGUAACAAUUUCUCUUAUUACAUAAAUAUUAUUAAUGUUGUAAUAAUUUGUGUAAUUAAAUAAUAUUUUAUAAGAUUACACUAAAUACUUUAAAAUUUAAUAUUUUAAUUACAAAAUAUUUUGGAAAGCUCAUCCUCUUAUUUUGUGCUCAAGGUAAAAGUAAAGUAAUAGUUUAGUAGUAUAAUGAUUUAUUUAGCUCUCUAAUUUCAUAAAAAAGUUAUUUUAGUUAUUUUUUUAAUUUUUUUUGUCUUUUAUACAUGUUGAACUUCUAUUUUUUUUAAAUUAUCCAAAAAUAGAUGAAAAAAUUAAUGUUAUUUAAUAUUACUGAUUUGGUAUAUACAUAGAUUGUCAUGUAGAUGAGAUGUUAGCAUUUAAUUAAAUUUUAAAAAAAUUUAAAAUAUUUAAAAAGUAUUUUUUAUAAAAAAAUUAAAAAUCAUUAAAAUUUUUAAAACUUAAAAUAAUUAAUUGAAUACUAGUGUGUCAUCCACGUGAUGCUCUACAUGUAUGUAAUGUUAACAAAAUAAAAAAAAUAUUAAUUUUUUAUCUAUUUUAAAGUGAUUUAAUAAAAAAAUAUAAAUUUAAAGACUAAAAAAUAUCAAAAACUAAAAUAACCUUUUUAUAAAAUUAGAGGGUAAAUAAAUAUUAUACCUAAAUUGAUUUACCACAAAAGAGGUGCAACGCUGCAAAUCAAUGCAACUUAGUUUCACGUGAGUGCUGGGCACGCGGACAUCCUUCUAUUUCACGUGACUUUCCCUCCACGCUGGCAUCUGUUCCCCCCUGUCUUCUCCCAAUGUUCCUUCAUAUUAAAAACAUAAUAAAAAAGUAAAUAAUAUAAAAUAAAUAAAUCAAACAGAAAUCCAAAGAUUGUUUAGAUAGCAAAAAAAAAAAAAAAAAACGAAAAGGAAAAAGCAAUGGGAGGUGGUGGUGGUGGUGAGAUAGCAGCGGAGACAAGGAAGAAGAGGAAGAAGGGAAGGCCCUCUCUCUUAGAACUUCAAAAACGCUCUCUCAAACAACAACAACUGCAGGAGCCGCAGCAACCGCAAUUGCUUCUUCAAAAAACCCCUAAUUCUUCUAUCAAUUCGAACCGCCGAUCCACUCGCCGCCACCCAAAUCUCAACGGUGGGUCCCCAGUUUCCGGAUCGAUUUCCGGAGGAGAAGACGACGACGACGACGACCGCCUACAGAAGAAGCAUAAACCAUUGCUUGGUUUCAAUUCUUCUCGUACUGAUCAGCAUUAUCCGAUUCCUUCGGCGCUCAAUUCGGCCUCCUAUGGGUCCGAUUCGAAUGCGGAUGGUGACAAUCCCGACGCGUCACUCAAACGUCGCAAGUUUACCGCCGCCAAGCCUGGAUCUGAUCAAAUGGUGAUAAAUCAUACAUUAAUAUAUAGAUUUCGCGGGUUUUUUAAAGUCCUGGUUUUGAAACAGAAUCAAGAAAUUGAUUUUCCUACUUUAUUUGGAUAUUUUAUUUUAGGGUUUUAUUUUGGGAAUCGAAAAUAGCUUCUCAUGCGCCGAAAUUUUAUAAUUGCAACAGAGAUGAACGAAUGAGUUUGACUAAGUCAUGUACCUUUUUUUAUUGGAUAUUGUUUCAACUUUUUGAUUUUCGGCUAAACUUCAAGUUGUUUUGAACAUAGUUUGUCUUCCUUUUCUUUCCCGAUUUACGAAUUUUCCAUUAUUAUUUUAUUAUUUCUUGUCUUGGAUUUAAUCCUUCCUUUAUUUUUGUGCAAAAUAAUAGAUGCACAGACCAUCAUGUCUGUAAAGCUUCAGUUUGUCUUUUCUUUUCUUUAAUAAUAAUACUUCAAAGUUUUUGUUUUUUUUUGUUUUUGGUACUUGCUUUGCAUUGUUGUAGCUUUUUACUGUAACUUUCCUCAGUGAUUCUUCAAUAAUCAACGCAAGUAUCUCUUUUAAUAGUUUUUUUUUCAUUUAAUUUGGGAGUUAAAUAAAUAUAUGUAUUGACACGAGAGUUUAUCUUACUUACAGGGAGAAAAGUUAUCGAAAGUGACGGACACUCUUCAUGGUAUAAGUCUAUCUCGGUUUUCAUGAAAAAAAGGCAUUUCUGGGAAUUCUUAGAAAAAAAGAAGUGUUGGGCUUUGUUAACUAUAUUAAUUUUAUUUCAUUUAUAUGUGGACAGGGUCACCGGUGGAGUCUGGCCCCACCCCCACGACGCCUUUGCCAGACAAAAAGUUGUUGGUGUUCAUUCUUGACAGGCUUCAAAAGUAUUUGUUAUUUUUGGCUCAUUUGAUUUUUUUUUUCUUAGUUUAUCUUCCGUUUGACGGGUUUUUAUCCUUUUUACUUAAUCUACUUCCAGGAAAGAUACUUAUGGGGUAUUCUCUGAGCCAGUAGAUCCUGAAGAGGUGCAUUUUGUUUUUCAUUCUUGCAUAAAUCUAGAUUACUGAAAAGUGAAAUCACGGUUCCUGAUAUAAUGUUGGAUUGGUCUUGAUACAGCUUCCAGAUUACCAUGAUAUUAUUGCACACCCAAUGGACUUUUCGACAGUCAGGAAAAAACUUGAUGAGGGAGCUUAUAUUACCUUAGAACAAUUUGAGGUUUGUUUUGCAAGCAUUCUCUUUGCUAAUGUGGAUAAAAUGUUCGUCUAUCCGUCUUCCUCCUGACAUAGUGGAGAGGGAAAGCCAACUAAGUUGUUUGAUUGCAUUACUGUCAAUGGUGAUUAAGUUUCUGAUGUUAUUUUCUGGAUUUCUCUGGUUGAUGUGUGUUUUUGUAGCAAUUGUAUAUGGCAUAUGGCAAGUCAAGUGCGUGUUGUCAGUCAAGCAAGUCCUUGAAGAAUACUGGAGGCAUGCUAUGCCUUUUGAGAUUACUGUAGUAACGAUGUUGGCUAUGAUGUUUAAGUACUUCAUUAAGUUCACUUGUUUGGGAUAGCAUUUUGGCCUCUUAUGCCUGGAAGAUUCUUUAAUUUGGUUUGAGAAGAUAAUUACUUGCCUUUGUUUUUUACUGUUCAUAUGAUAUAUAAUUUAUUUGGUACUGCCAAUGGUUUGCCUAUGAUUUGUGGAAUUUGAUUGCAAAACUUGUUUUGUUUAGCAUAGGAUCUUACUGUGUUACUCUUUCCUAGCAGAUAACUAUAUAUGCUGUGAGUUGCUUUUUGUGGUUAACUGAGAAGAUGAAAAUCCUAAUGAAAUGAUUUUCAUGUCAGUAUAAAUGCCCUGGACCAGUGGGAUAGUCUUUAGAUUCUACAAACAUGUAGUAAUCAAAACUUAGAUUUAGGGGAUAUAGUUUUUCUGGAAUGAUACUUGAUGUAUAACUGAAAAUUUGUGAGUUUGAUUCAUGCAGAUUGAUGUUUUCCUAAUAUGCUCGAAUGCAAUGCAGUAUAAUGCACCAGAUACAAUUUACUUUCGACAGGUUUGUCUAGGUCUCAAUUGUAUUAAUUCCUUUGUCAUGAUACUGUGGUCUCUGUUAUUUUAAACGUCUGGAUUGGAUGGUUAGGCACGAUCAAUGCAGGAGCUGGCUAGAAAGGACUUUGAGAAUUUGAGGCAAGAUAGUGAUGAAGGUGAACCACAAGUGAAAGUUGUGAGGAGAGGAAGGCCACCUGGAAAGAGCCUCAAAAAGUCAUUGGUUUCAUCGUCAUCUAUUGACCAUGUUGGUUCUGAGUACUCCUCAGAUGCAACACUAGCUGCUGGACGAGAUGCUUCUAGCCUUUCAAACACUUACAAUUUGAGGAAAGCACCUAAUUCCCUCAAACUACGGCCUGCUGAUACAUUUAUCAGGCCCUCCUGGGGUUCUCCUAGCAAAGAGAAUCAUGCCAUUUGUUCAUCUGAAUGGGAGAAUGAAUUUCCAGGUUUGGUAUUUAUCUGACUUUAUAUACAUAUCCUUAAGUGUUUAGCUUUUUUAAUGUAAAAUGUUAUUUACUACAUAUUUUCUGUAUUUCAUAUUGAGCUAUUUUUCUCUCAUUUUGUAGCUUCUGUUGUGAGGGCUGUGAUGAAGUAUGGGAUGAAACAUUUUGCAGUAGAUGAGAACAGGCGUGACACCUACAACCACUCAUCAACUUCUGGACAUGAGCAACAUACCUUUUCCACCUUGGAUGGAGAAUUGAAGCAACUAAUUCCGGUGUGUUUUAUGUUUGUAUAAUGGCAAUAACAGUUAUUAAUGCAUUAGUUAGAAGAUUAUUGUAUGAGCUGUAUAGCUAGAAUGUCUGAUCUACCUUCGACUCAUUGAGCGCAGGUAAGGAAUCCUAAACUUUUUGUUUAUUAAUAAAUUGUAUACAAAAGUUGUGGUGCAGGUGGGUUUGCCCUGGUAAUUUGAUAUGUUUAUAUAUCUAGCGAAAAGGGUGUUUGAAUAUUCUGACAACUAGUGUUUAUGAGGGAACAAUACAAAACUAUCCAGAUCAGUGGCAGAAUAGAAUGCUCAAUUCCUUAUAUUGACUAAUUAUUUUUAUCACCCUCGAUUUUAUUUUGGUCAAUUAUAUUGUUUAUCAGGUUAGUUUGACUGCAGAAAAUGGUAACCCUUUUUCCCCCUUUCAUUGUCUGUCAGGUUGGUUUGAGUGCAGAAAAUGGUUAUGCUACAAGCUUGGCACGUUUUGCUGCAAAUCUUGGACCAGUUGUUUGGAAAAUUGCUUCAAGGAAAAUUGAAAGUGUUUUGCCUAGAGGACUCAAGUUUGGUCCUGGAUGGGUUGGAGAAAACAGGACAGUUGAGCAACCACAAUGUUCCUUUUCUGAUAAGCAGAGAUCUCCGAAUUCUCUUUCUGAUAACCCUCCUGGCAGAUUUUUAUCAACAGCUACUUCUGGUUCAAACUCCAUUGCUGCAAGUAGAUUUCCUUUGCAGGGUAGAGAAGACAUGGAAGCUGUCAGAGGCCUAACUUCUCAAAAUGACUCGACUUCUGCACCUUCUCAUCAGUUUCAGCAAAGUCUUGUUCCACACUCGGGUAUCAAUGGUUCUAUUGGUGGGUUUGGGUUUGGUUAUUCCUCUCAAACGGGGUUGGUAACACAGUGUGUAAAUUCUUUGUCUGAAAAGACUACAGUGCCGACUCAAACACACGACAUGAUUUCGGGUGCUAGUGAUUUUCUUCCAAAAGAGGCCAAGUUGGCAGAUAGUUCAAUCGCUUUACAUUCUGGAAAUGCAAUGGCUGUGGAGCCUGAAAUGGUGUCACAUGCGGCGGCAACUAAUGUCGGGCUUCAGCGGAGUUCCUAUAAUGAACCGAAUUUCCUUCAAUUUGCUCCUGAUCUUAAUGUGAGAUUUCUGGCACCGGGUUCACCUAGUUCUAGUGUGCCAAUUGGUUCACCCCAGCGCCCUGAUUUAGCAUUGCAACUCUAAUAAUCAGCCAACACGAUUUCCAUAUGAUGUGGCUUGUAUGUGCUAAUUGUAGUAUUAGGUCAAGUACGCCUGUAUAUGAUGAUAAGAUUUGGUCGAAAUUUACUUACUACAUUCUUCAUUGGAAGGUCCGUUGAGUAGUGGUUCCUCAAGAAGUCAUAGGAUCAGAUUGUAGGGGAGAUUUUGUAUAGAUUGAUAUAUCAAAUUCUUUCAUAGGGUUAAAAAAUUACAGAUUUAUAUACGAUAUCUAACAUGUUAUAUUUUGAGUUGUUAAUGAAUAUUGUUACCAAUACUACUACUGGUAUUACGUACGAGAUAUCAUUCAUGUCAUGAAUUAUGAAAUGUUCAUGUUUGGAGCAAUGAAGUAGUGCUUAAACUAGUUGAUGCAAAAUUGAGGGCAACUGAUACUGAAAACUUUGCCAAGGGAGUUUGAGUGAUGUUAUGUAAAUUGCAAUUAUAUAUACAUGUGCAUAUAUAAUUAUAUUAUAUAUGUUGAGAGCAUGUAUGCAGUUCUCUUGUUAGUUCUGUAUCAGUGUUAAUUUGUUUCCUUCCUCCGCUCCCACAUUGAGAUACCAGUCCAGGCAGAGAAUUUCUUGAAAAUAUAAUAUCAUAGUUUUCGUGAUCGUGUAUAAGUUGUCCUGGCAUAUUUCUAGUUGCAUCCUAGUUACAUAUGCUGUCCUCGCAUAUUCAUCCUUUAAGAGGUAAGGUAGGGGCAGUAGUAGUCAUUUUCCAAGAUCAAUAGUGAAGAGAAUUGUUUAUUUGAACAAUAGCAUGCAUUAUGUUAAAAAAAUCUCAAUCAUUCACUGUACAAUAAUGGCCAGGUUUGGAAAUAUAUUCUAUGCCGCCGAAAAUAGCCAUGGUGGCCACCUAAUGCUUGGCGUUUUUGCAUACAUCAGACAAUAGUGGAAUCUUAGUUUAGAGGGACUUCAAAGCCUCCCAUAUUUUUGUUUGGCAAACUGGAGCAGAGCCCUUUGGAAGAUUAUAGGAGUCUAACUGUGUCGCGCUCACACCAUCUACAUGUAUCAUCAUUACUUGAGACCAAAUCUAGUUACAUCAUCUGUCCUAAAUCGUCUUGUUAUUUCAUGCAGUAAAGCUUUAAACUGCCAUUUACUUCGCAUGCGGAGAAGUAUAUUCUCAGCUCCGUACGUGACCUCUACCCUUUGAGUUUGAGCAUCCAAAUCUUGAGCAAAUUGGCCAGUAUUCUUUGUAAUUAUGGGUUGUAUAAUUGUCAGGGAUAAGCUGUUCUUAUGGGAUCUAAGGCUCUUUGAUCUUGGGAAGAGCUAUAGUUCGUCCUGACUUAAGACAUGCAGUUCUGCAUCACUUGUGACUCUUUCCAGGUCACCACCCCAGAGUUCUCUCCUCCUAUAAGACCUUCAUUACCAGACAUGCUAAACUUUGAAGGCUGGUUCGUUCCAUAACAACAGCUAUGACUUGAACCGGAACUCAGGCUACACGAGGAGCAAGGUGAAUUUGAAGUACAGCUUGGGUCCCGAAAUUACCAUCCUCAGCCAGCUUUGUGAUUCUUUUCAAGGUUGUGGGGCACGCUAAAAAAUAUUGAAAGGAAACCGGAAAGGACAUCAAAUUAUAGAGCAAUGAUAGCCAACAGUAUGCAAUUAUGUUCAUUAGUAUCCCAUACCAUGCUAUAUGACAGGGAUACUUACUGAAACACAUAGGUACCAAAUAAACCAGAAGGAAAAUAACAAGCCAACAUGGUAACAUUAACAUACAGCUUCUACUUUUUCCUUUUUUCUGUCUUCAACUUUCAACAGAAACUCCUUUUAAUCUAAAAUUAUUAGCUGUUUGUCUACCAAGCUUACACCACAACCAAAACAUCCAUUAACACUUAGCACCAAUGCUUUUUGCUUCAUCUUUUAGUCUUCCAGCAACAUAUUAGCGGGGAACCAGCAAAGUGAUUGUUUUUUCUGCCUUGCUACGCCUCUACUCUCUCUUUUUUCGUUUCCCCUUUGCAAGGUGAUGUUAUAAAAUGUUGUUGUUCAAAUUAUCUGCCUUAUGUGCUUGGUUAUGAUGGAACAAAUUUCCAGCUUGUGCUAUCUUGUUUGUUAGUCAAAACCUGAUGCAAUGAAAUGGAUGAAUACAAGAAUUGCUAAUUAUGAUAAGCUGUUGAUGCUUUUUGCUAAAGAUACAGAAAAGAGGGAUGGGGCUAAAGGGGGUCACUUGGGCAGCCCAAUAGGUGGCCGAGUAUCUGAUGGUAUCCCUUUGCAAGAUGUAGUUGGUGCAAGUAUGGAGGAAAAAGACACGAAUGAUACCAGCCAAGUUGGUUCGCAAGCACCAUCCCAGUCAACAACAUCAUUGAAACCGAAAAAAAAGUGAAAGGCGACAAGAGUUGAAGUAUUUGAAAGGGAGUUACAAGCAUAAGGGAAGCAAUUAAAGGUGUUGCAGAAGAAUGUUAUAGGCGAGAGAGGACAACCACGCGUUUACUCGGAGCAGGAAGUAUUCGCAGAAUUAGUGAACAUAGGUGUUUAAAUAUAGUUGCGGAACUUGUGGUAUAAGGCAUAUAUUUUCCUUACUGCAAACGCUGGGAGGGUGAGAGCCUUUUUUGGUUGCUCAGCUGAGGAGCGAAAGGAAUUUUUAUUGCAGAUGAUGUAUACUAGUUCUGGAGACCCGGCAUAUUAAAAAUUUAUUAGCUAGUUAGGAUUCUUUCUUUCAUUAGGCUUGAAGAUGGGACGGCAUGUGUGCGUUUGCGAAAAGGAAGGGAUUUUGUACAUAAGAUAAGAUGAUUCAUAAUUUAUGAUAUGAUAGGGUAAAGCUAUUUUUACUUUUUAUUUGGUAUAUUAGUUGAAUACCACGACUAGUACAGAAUCUAAAUGGUUUUGAAAGAUACAACUUUGCCUCUUUGAAAAAUUCUAAAAACAAACUCUUUAAUAUCAAGUUUUCAUUAACUUUAUUAAGAGUUAAAUUCAAAGGUGACUGAUCGUAAUAAUUUAUAUGGAAGUGUGCUGAGAAUUGUUGCAUGUUGACAGUAUCCAAGAAGAGAAAAUGGUAAAUUGUGUGGGUGAAGGGAAAAUUUACAUUCCCUUGCACAAGUUUCAUGGUCCUUAAUGUAUAAACCUUGUGUGUUCUUCGUGUUGGCAGCUAUCCUUUUAAUUGGGAUGCUUGGUGGGUCAUGGUAUUGCUUAAGUACGUGUCUUUGAUGACUAUGGAAAGUCACACAUAUAUAUAUAUAUAAAUCCACAUAUGUUUGUUGUGAUGGGACUGUGCGAAGUCUUAUGUCAUAUGAUUAGUUAAGUAUUUUAACAAAACAUAAUCUUCUUCUAAGGCAAAGUAAAACGUAGUAUCUUUAAAGGAUGAGAUGUGAAUUAUGUGAGGUAUACUUAUGCUUAAGUAUAAUAAUUACUCUCAAUUUAAAAGAGAGUUAUAAAAUAACAUUUCUUGAGAUAAAAUGUACAAUAUAUAAUUGUGUUGUAAGAUAUACAUAGUAAUUGAAUAAUGUAUCUAUAAAUUUAAAGAGUGCUGUGUUUGGGGAAAACACAUUAAGUGGAUUAAUGACGUAAAAAAGGUAUAUAUAAAGUAAAUUGUGGCCUACUUGUUAAGAUACAAUUGGCCAUGAUAGACUGUCAUUCCAUGUAUUGUUUUAUUAUUGACAAUUGAAUAAAACUUGAUGAGGAUGUCACGAAAUUUUUUUUGAAACUUUUAGAUUUUUUUUCUUGGAGUUAAAAAAUAUCAGUGAUGAUAUUCUAGCGAUCUUUCUAUAGUGUGAAGGUUUUAGGUGGACCAAAAAAGAUUUUUAGGUGAAGUUUUUAAUCUUUUCUUGAUGUUUGUUGUUUAUAGACUUUCUUGUUACUAUUUCGAAUAUGGGUUUGGUUGGGAUUUGUAGUUUUUGAGGUAGGGCUUCUUUAUUUUGUAUUUCGUAGUGGGAUUUGGGAUAAUUUUGGUGAUAAUGGCUGGUAAGGGAAAAAAGAAGAAAAAUGUGAAAAAGAAAAGGAAAAAACUACGAAAGUGAAGAAAGCAGAAAAAGAAAGGAAAAUAAGAAUCCUUAUAACGACUGAUAAAUUGGAAUGUACCAUUAGGGGAGACGAGAUGCGAACAAUAUUGAAUUGUAGAAGUUUUUAGUACCCCGAGGAAGUAAUUGCCUCAGUGAGGUAUAAGCUACAACGCAAGGUGGUAGUAAAGAAAUUUUCUUCUAUUAUAUGUGUUUGAGUCAAGGUUUCAUCCUCUGCAUAUGUUCUUCGUUGAGGUGUUGAAUUAUUAUGGAUUCUGGGGCAAUCAGUAGAAAUAUUGUAGUGGAAUUAGAUAACUUACUUUAUACAUUGUCAAAAGCAUGCUGAAAUACGCUUUUAAAAAAUAUAUAUUAGCUGAGAAAUACUGGUGAAGUAUGUUGUUCUUCAUGGUAUUACGAGGAGAAAACUUAAUUUUGGACAAUAGAAAUCAUUUAUGAUAUUUAUAAUAAUAAAUUAUAAACUGUAUUAUUAUCCAUGUUUCAAGUAAGAUAAUCUAAAUUAUUUCCUAACUUUUUUACAAAACAAUCUUUUCGGCAGAAAAUUAUAUCAUUAUUUUAAAAUUUCAAAAAAAAAAAGUUUUGUAGGAUUUUAGACAGGUGUCGGCAGACGGAAUGAUUUGGACUCUACUAGCGUAUAGACGUAUAGAUAAUACCAGAAAUCGAAAGCUUGUUUAGAGAGGAAAAAAAAAAAGCGAAAAAAAAAAAAGCAAUGGGAGGUGAUAUUGGUGGUGAGAUAGCAGCGGAGACAAUGAAGAAGAGGAAGAAGAAGGGAAGGCCCUCUCUCUUAGAACUUCAAAAACGCUCUCUCAAACAACAACGACUUCAGGAGCCGCAGCAACCGCAAUUGCUUCUUCAAAAUACCCCUAAUUCUUCUAUCAAUUCGAACCGCCGAUCCACUCGCCGCCACGCAAAUCUCAACGGUGGGUCCCCAGUUUCCGGAUCGACUUCCGGAGGAGACGACGACGAUGACGAUGACCGCCUACAGAAGAAGCAUAAACCAUUGCUUGGCUUCAAUUCUUCUCGUACUGAUCAGCAUUAUCCGAUUCCUUCGGCGCUCAAUUCGGCCUCCUAUGGGUCCGAUUCGAAUGCGGAUGGUGACG